ACAAUACUGAGGCCUGAGGCACAUGUUAAAACAGGGCCCAGUCCUGCGAUCAGAUCUGUGUGUGCAUACCCUUGGGACCAUGCAGAGACCCACUGACUGCAGGAUCAGAGCCUGGUAUUGCUCAGGAAAUACUGGAGCUACCCCUGCCACCAGACAAGAUAAAAUGAAGCACAGACAGGCCAAGGUUGAAGGACUAAGAGCUGUCUCCAAAAGGGGAACUUUGCUAUCAAGAACUAAAUUACUUUGCAACAAGUAACAUUCAGCAUUUGUGAUAAAAAUAUGAAAUAUAUCACAUCUGAGACAUUAUGAUGUUGCAUGCCUGGGUUUGAGGUGACUGCAGCAAAAGGGACAUAAAAAAGCAAGAGAAAUUGAUCUAGCCAAAGAAAAAAUAGAAUUAUUUAAGAAUGCACAUAUUUCCUUCACAGAACAUUCAAUUUGCCUCCAAUGUGUUAAAUUUAGACACUAAAUCCCACCAUUCAACUGCAAACUAGUGAGAUUUUAAUGGUACUUUACGUGUAAAAUUCAAUGUAAUGGUAACUAUGGGGACCCUGGUGCUACCUCCCUAAUACUGUACUCCAGGUGACUCGAAGCAGAUCUACAAAUUGAACUCAAUGGGAACAACACGGUACACAGGAGCAGUCCACACCCUAAUAUUCUACCUUGCUUCACCAAAGCUGAGACCACCAAAUAUUGUUUCAUUAAAAACAUUUAUAUUAGGCCCAGCUCAAGGUCUCAAAAGGUGCUUGUGAUUGGUCUUGUUUUUAUUUAGAGAUCACCCCUGAAUAAGAACAUGUUAGUUGAAAUAACCAUGAGCUCAAUAAAACAGCUAAGUGUUGUUAUACAGCAAAACCUCCCUCUGGUUUUAUUGCCCCCUAG